rnacentral:rRNA from 1 species
UACGUAGGUGACAAGCGUUGUCCGGAUUUACUGGGCGUAAAGAGCGCGCAGGCGGUCGAUCAAGUCGAGUGUGAAAGCCCCCGGCUCAACUGGGGAGGGUCAUUCGAUACUGAUCGACUCGAAGGCAGGAGAGGGUAGUGGAAUUCCUGGUGUAGCGGUGAAAUGCGCAGAUAUCAGGAGGAACACCAAUGGCGAAGGCAGCUCGCUGGGACGGUACUGACGCUGAGGCGCGAAAGCGUGGGGAGCAAACAGG